AGCGAACGCUGGCGGCAGGCUUAACACAUGCAAGUCGAGCGGGCGUAGCAAUACGUCAGCGGCAGACGGGUGAGUAACGCGUGGGAACGUACCUUUUGGUUCGGAACAACACAGGGAAACUUGUGCUAAUACCGGAUAAGCCCUUACGGGGAAAGAUUUAUCGCCGAAAGAUCGGCCCGCGUCUGAUUAGCUAGUUGGUGAGGUAACGGCUCACCAAGGCGACGAUCAGUAGCUGGUCUGAGAGGAUGAUCAGCCACAUUGGGACUGAGACACGGCCCAAACUCCUACGGGAGGCAGCAGUGGGGAAUAUUGGACAAUGGGCGCAAGCCUGAUCCAGCCAUGCCGCGUGAGUGAUGAAGGCCCUAGGGUUGUAAAGCUCUUUUGUGCGGGAAGAUAAUGACGGUACCGCAAGAAUAAGCCCCGGCUAACUUCGUGCCAGCAGCCGCGGUAA
rnacentral:rRNA from 1 species